rnacentral:rRNA from 1 species
CCUGACGCAGCGACGCCGCGUGGAGGAUGAAGGUCUUCGGAUUGUAAACUCCUGUUGCUCGGGACGAAAAGCCUCGACCUAACACGUCGAGGUCUGACGGUACCGAGUGAGGAAGCCCCGGCUAACUCUGUGCCAGCAGCCGCGGUAAUACAGAGGGGGCAAGCGUUGUUCGGAAUUACUGGGCGUAAAGGGCGCGUAGGCGGCCCGCUAAGUCGAACGUGAAAUCCCCGAGCUCAACUCGGGAACUGCGUCCGAUACUGGUGGGCUUGAAUCCGGGAGAGGGAUGCGGAAUUCCAGGUGUAGCGGUGAAAUGCGUAGAUAUCUGGAGGAACACCGGUGGCGAAGGCGGCAUCCUGGACCGGCAUUGACGCUGAGGCGCGAAAGCUAGGGGAGCAAACGGGAUUAGAUACCCCGGUAGUCCUAGCCCUAAACGAUGAAUGCUUGGUGUGGCGGGUAUCGAUUCCUGCCGUGCCGAAGCUAACGCAUUAAGCAUUCCGCCUGGGGAGUACGGUCGCAAGGCUGAAACUCAAAUGAAUUGACGG